rnacentral:lncRNA from 1 species
GACCAUUUACCUCUUGCUGUGGUGGGUAGUAAUACUAUCAUUGAAGUUAAUGGCAAAAGGGUCAUAGGAAGGCAGUAUCCUUGGAGUGUUGCUGAAGUUGAAAAUGGUGAACAUUGUGAUUUUACAGUUCUAAGAAAUAUGUUGAUAAGAACACACGCAGGACUUGAAAGAUGUUACUAAUAAUGUCCACUACGAGAACUAUGGAAUCAGAAAACUGGCAGCUGUGACUUAUCAUGGAGUUGAUAACAAGAAGAAUAAAG